UGGGGAAUAUUGGACAAUGGGCGAAAGCCUGAUCCAGCCAUGCCGCGUGAGUGAUGAAGGCCCUAGGGUUGUAAAGCUCUUUUGUGCGGGAAGAUAAUGACGGUACCGCAAGAAUAAGCCCCGGCUAACUUCGUGCCAGCAGCCGCGGUAAUACGAAGGGGGCUAGCGUUGCUCGGAAUCACUGGGCGUAAAGGGUGCGUAGGCGGGUCUUUAAGUCAGGGGUGAAAUCCUGGAGCUCAACUCCAGAACUGCCUUUGAUACUGAGGAUCUUGAGUUCGGGAGAGGUGAGUGCAACUGCGAGUGUUGAGGUGAAAUUCGUAGAUAUUCGCAAGAACACCAGUGGCGAAGGCGGCUCACUGGCCCGAUACUGACGCUGAGGCACGAAAGCGUGGGGAGCAAACA
rnacentral:rRNA from 1 species